rnacentral:rRNA from 1 species
AACGAACGCUGGCGGCAUGCCUAACACAUGCAAGUCGAACGAGACCUUCGGGUCUAGUGGCGCACGGGUGCGUAACGCGUGGGAACCUGCCUUUAGGUUCGGAAUAACAGUGAGAAAUUACUGCUAAUACCGGAUGAUGUCUUCGGACCAAAGAUUUAUCGCCUUUAGAUGGGCCCGCGUUGGAUUAGCUAGUUGGUGGGGUAAAGGCCUACCAAGGCGACGAUCCAUAGCUGGUCUGAGAGGAUGAUCAGCCACACUGGGACUGAGACACGGCCCAGACUCCUACGGGAGGCAGCAGUGGGGAAUUUUGGACAAUGGGGGAAACCCUGAUCCAGCAAUGCCGCGUGAGUGAAGAAGGCC